AGUGUUCAGAGAAGCCCAGCUCUGACUUCCUGUUUUCUCUGUGUGGUCGAGGUUUCAGUGUUUCCGCUCACAGUAAGAGAUGUUUGAAUGAUCACAGUAUAGAAGAACAGAUGAUGAGGAUCAUACAGCUUAACUUCUAUCUGUUGAUGUGGUCUCGAGCUGCUGAGAGUUUAACAAACACAUCAGUAACUUUAGGAUCCAAUGUGAUUAUAAACUGUGAUCUUGAUAUAGAGGAGAUUUACUGGUACAGACAGAAAUCACCAGAUCCUCCAGAGUUGAUCUUACGCACUUUUGAUAGCAUAUCUGAAGGAGCUGAAUAUGAAAACAGCAUCUUUGAAGAGAAAUACUCAGUGAAAACUAACAGUCGUCUGUUCAUAAGAAAUAUCAGCGCUGAUGAAUUAGGAGUUUAUUAUUGUGUCAAAACUAGUGAACCACAAAAAUUCAGCAACGGCACCAAAAUCUACAUCAACAAAUCACAUGAGACUCAAUGGAGAAACCUGGCCAUCAUCACAUCUGUCCUGUUGAGUCUGCUUCUGAUCUUCACAUUAAUAGGUUUGGUGAAGAGCUACAGUGGAAGAUCAACAAAUUACACUUCAGCUAAAAACUCAAAUAAUCUACAGUGUGCUGAGAUAGAUUUUUCUCUGUGUGCCGCUAACAUCAAACUGAUCCAAGAGCAGAGGACGGCUGUCUUAUACAGACAAUGUGUGAUGUAAAUAUGCAGAAAUUGUGCCACCAAACUAAAAUGUACUGUUUUUAUUAUUUUAUAUUAGUUAUUUGGCCUAAUAGGAAACUUGAACUGAAUUGAGUUUUUUUUUUAUUUUAUUUUUUAUUAUAAUUAUAAGUUUUGCUAUAUCAUAAUACACAUUUUGGUGAAUAUGAAUCAGUUUUUUACAAAUGCA